GGGAACCUCACCAGGCCCGGACACUGGAAGGAUUGACAGAUUGAUAGCUCUUUCUUGAUUCGGUGGGUGGUGGUGCAUGGCCGUUCUUAGUUGGUGGAGCGAUCUGUCUGGUUAAUUCCGAUAACGAACGAGACCCCAACCUGCUAACUAGCCCUCGGGUCCUGCUUCUGUUGGGCCCGACGGAAUGAUUCGCUUCUUAGAGGGACUCGCGGCGCCUAGCCGCACGAAGGGGGGCGAUAA
rnacentral:rRNA from 1 species